rnacentral:rRNA from 1 species
GCCUAGCCUUAAAUCUUGGCACUUACCAUACUAAAGUACCCGCCUGAGAACUACGAGCACAAACGCUUAAAACUCUAAGGACUUGGCGGUGCUCUAAACCCACCUAGAGGAGCCUGUUCUAUAAUCGAUAAUCCACGAUGCACCCGACCACCCCUUGCCAGUACAGCCUACAUACCGCCGUCGUCAGCUCACCUCCCUUGAGAGUGUAGUAGUGAGCACAAUAGCCAUAAAUUCCGCUAGUAAGACAGGUCAAGGUAUAGCCCAUGGGGUGGGAGAAAUGGGCUACAUUUUCUAAGAUAGAAAAGUUCACGAAAGGGGGUGUGCAAGCAUCCCUAGAAGGCGGAUUUAGUAGUAAAGCGGGACCAUAGAGCCCCCUUUAAACCGGCCCUGGAGCACGU